rnacentral:lncRNA from 1 species
GUGCUCUCUUGCUUUGACUCACUCCUGAUCUGAAUCAGCUCCCACUCGAGCUCCUGCACUGCCUGAAGAAUAUUUGUCUGUCCGGCCUGACAGGCUGCCACCACGUAUCGAGCAUGCUCCAGGGAUUUUUCUCAGCAUCAGAAAGGUACAUUGGAGGCCAAGAAACUAGAGCCCAACUCAACAGACUAGGGCAUAGCACAAUGCAGUGAGAUAGCAUUCCAGAAUAUUUGAGUAUCCCACACGUCUUGAGGACAGGUCAGCAAAGGCUGUUUGGAGAAGUCUUUAUAUGCCUCAACAGUUGGAGCUUGUGUCAACUCAUGCAAGAGGCAGAGGAAAGCAGCUAAAAUGUAGAAUUAAUUUACUCAUAGGAACAGUCAAGUAGUAAGAAUUUUAAGUCAUGCUUUAAUAGCUAACAAGUUAAAAAUGCA